rnacentral:misc_RNA from 1 species
GAUGAAGAACGCAGCGAAAUGCGAUAAGUAGUGUGAAUUGCAGAAUUCAGUGAAUCAUCGAAUCUUUGAUCGCACAUUGCGCCCCUUGGUAUCCCGAGGGGCAUGCCUGUUCGAGCGUCAUUUCACCACUCAAGCCUGGCUCGGUGUUGGGCGACGUCCUCUUUGGGGACGCGCCUCGAAACGCUCGGCGGCGUGGCACCGGCUUUAAGCGUAGCAGAAUCUUUCGCUUUGGAAGUCGGGGCCCCGUCUGCCGGAAGACCUGCUCGCAAGGUUGACCUCGGAUCAGGCAGGGAUACCCGCUGAACUUAAGCAUAUCAAUAAGCGGAGGA